rnacentral:rRNA from 1 species
UACGGAGGGUGCGAGCGUUAAUCGGAAUAACUGGGCGUAAAGGGCACGUAGGCGGGCUUUUAAGUGAGAUGUGAAAUCCCCGGGCUCAACCUGGGAAUAGCAUUUGAGACUGGGAGGCUAGAGUACUUUAGGGGGGGGUAGAAUUCCACGUGUAGCGGUGAAAUGCGUAGAGAUGUGGAGGAAUACCGAUGGCGAAGGCAGCCCCCUGGAAAUGUACUGACGCUGAGGUGCGAAAGCGUGGGGAGCAAACAGG